rnacentral:rRNA from 1 species
CACUCCUACGGGAGGCAGCAGUGGGGAAUAUUGGACAAUGGGCGCAAGCCUGAUCCAGCCAUGCCGCGUGAGUGAUGAAGGCCCUAGGGUUGUAAAGCUCUUUCACCGGUGAAGAUAAUGACGGUAACCGGAGAAGAAGCCCCGGCUAACUUCGUGCCAGCAGCCGCGGUAAUACGAAGGGGGCUAGCGUUGUUCGGAUUUACUGGGCGUAAAGCGCACGUAGGCGGACUAUUAAGUCAGGGGUGAAAUCCCGGGGCUCAACCCCGGAACUGCCUUUGAUACUGGUAGUCUUGAGUUCGAGAGAGGUGAGUGGAAUUCCGAGUGUAGAGGUGAAAUUCGUAGAUAUUCGGAGGAACACCAGUGGCGAAGGCGGCUCACUGGCUCGAUACUGACGCUGAGGUGCGAAAGCGUGGGGAGCAAACAGGAUUAGAUACCCCAGUAGCCCCA